rnacentral:rRNA from 1 species
GAAAACGAGACGCUAAGGCGUCGAAGUAGUGUAUGUCAUACUUCCAAGAAAAGCUUGCACUGUCAUAGAUAAAAAACGCCUGUACCAUAACCGACACAGGUGGGUAGGUAGAGUAUACUAAGGGGCGCGAGAUAACUCUCUCUAAGGAACUCGGCAAAAUAACUCCGUAACUUCGGGAGAAGGAGUGCCUUAUUCGUAAGGUUGCAAUAACAAGAUCCAAGCAACUGUUUAUCAAAAACACGGGUCUCCGCUAAGCCGUAAGACGAUGUAUGGGGGCUGACGCCUGCCCAGUGCCAGAAGGUUAAAGAAGUUGGUUAGCAAUUGCGAAGCUGAUAACUGAAGCCCUGGUGAACGGCGGCCGUAACAAUAACGGUCCUAAGGUAGCGAAAUUCCUUGUCGGGUAAGUUCCGACCCGCACGAAAGGCGUAAUGAUUUGGAUACUGUCUCGGAGAGGGGCUCGGUGAAAUAGACUUGUCUGUGAAGAUGCGGACUACCUGCACCAGGACAGAAAGACCCUAUGAAGCUUUACUGUAACUUGAAAUUGAAAUUGGACUUUAUUCGCGCAGUAUAGGUGGGAGGCGUUGAUUAUAAUCUUGUGGGAUUAUUGGAGCCAUCAGUGAGAUACCACUCUUGUAAUGUUAGAUUUCUAACUUUGAAUCAUUAUCUGGUCAAAGAACAGUUUCAGGCGGGCAGUUUGACUGGGGCGGUCGCCUCCUAAACGGUAACGGAGGCGUACAAAGGUUUCCUCUGAACGGUUAGAAAUCGUAUCUAGAGUGUAAAGGCAUAAGGAAGCUUGACUGUGAGACCUACAAGUCGAGCAGGGACGAAGGUCGGUCUUAGUGAUCUGACGGUACUGAGUGGAAAGGCCGUCACUCAACGGAUAAAAGUUACUCUAAGGAUAACAGGCUGAUCUCCCCCAAGAGUUCACAUCGACGGGGAGGUUUGGCACCUCGAUGUCGGCUCAUCGCAUCCUGGGGCGGUAGUACGUCCCAAGGGUUGGGCUGUACGCCCAUGAAAGCGGUACGCGAGCUGGGUUCAGAACGUCGUGAGACAGUUCGGUCCAUAUCCGGUGUAGGCGUUAGAAUAUUGAGAGGAGCCUUCUUUAGUACGAGAGGACCGAGAAGGACAUACCUCUGGUGUACCAGUUAUCGUGCCAACGGUAAACGCUGGGUAGCUAUGUAUGGAGUGGAUAACCGCUGAAAGCAUCUAAGUGGGAAGCCCACCUCAAGAUAAG